UUUUAUUUUUUUAUUUUUAUUAUUAUUAUUUUUUUAUCUCUCUUACUUCGUUUUACCGUUCUUUUUUUUCUUUCUUCUCUUUCCAGUUUUAAGCUUUAGCAUAGAGCAGAGAGCUGAGAGCACAGAGUAGACAUUCCAGCGGCAAAGGCAUCCCCUUUGCCGUCGGCUUCGUUUCUUCCUUCACCUUCUCUACAUCUCUGCAUCUCUACAUCUCAUCUCUAGGUUGAAGGGUUUGGAUUGAAGCCGAAAGAAUCAAUCUCUGCAUCUCAUCUCUGGAUCUGGGUCCUUUUGGUUUCCAAGAAAAAAAGGCAAAAAAUAAAAAAAUAAAAACGGUGGAGUGGAAGAUUUAGGGGAAGAGUUGAAUUGAAUAAGUUGGGUUUGGGUUGGCACUGUCACUGUCAAGCUCCUCUGUUUCUGGGUUUUUGGAGAAACAGGUCUAAUUAUUUUUUAUUAUUAAUUUUUUUUUUCCUUCUGCGUUUCUGUUGGUUCUUUGUUGGUAUCUGGGUUUCUGGAUUCUGCAUCUCUCUACUCUCUGAUUUUUUUUCCUAGUUAGCAUGAAAUCUUAUGUUGGCUUUCAUAGGACUUUAUGCUAACACGAGAUAUCAGCUGUUGUGUGGAUAUGACAGAGCAAUGUUCAACCAAUCUGACGUCAUUAGAGUGGCACUGUUAUUGGGGAGCCGAGGAAGUGUAGGGUGGGGGGCCCUGAAAAAUGGCCUCUUGUUAUUGGGUUUUUUUUUUUUUUUUUCUUAUUUAGGUUUUGAACUUUAUGGUGUCGUUUUCUGCUAAAUCUUUGUUCGUAGUAUAGUAGUUUGAUGUUUUACACCAAAUGGGCUUUGUUUUCGAUUCCAAGUAGUGUACUUUAACACGAAGAGGGUUAUGUUGAACACUUUGUGCUUUUAUGUUUUGAGUUAUAAUUAUUUGUCUUGAUAUUGAGACUA